AUCCAUCUCUUUCCUCCGUUCGACCAAGGACGACCGCGCGACCUGGAAAAGAGGAGGCGGCGCCCAGUGAAGCCCACCGACGGCGGCGCCCAGCACUCCCCAAACAACCUCGCGAAGUCAGGAUGAGGCCGUUCUACACGAUGCUCCUAGCCCUCGCCAUUGUGGUGCUAUGUUCAGGUAUAGGCAGAUCUACGUGCAGCCACUACUUUCCCUUAUUAGUUUCAACUUUGAAGUAACAAACUGGAGUAAUAUAUAUAUGCCUCGCGCUAAUUUCUCUGUGUGCGCUAUUCGAUCCGUAGAUGUGGCGAUGAAGGUGGUGACGGCGAACGGCGGUGACGCCACUGCGACGGUGAACCCCAUGGACUGCAAGGUGCUCCCGACCAUCCCCGGCAUAUGCACUCCCAACAAGUGCAUGGAGGACUGCCAGGGCAGCAUCGGCGGCACCUCGGUGGGCGAGUGCGUUUCCGACGGAUGCCAGUGCACGUACUGCGGUAUCCCACCUAGUGGUCGUCGGAACUGAACGGAGAGCAGGCAUACGCUGCUGCAUGCUUCUUUUUCCUGAUGAAUAAUGAUAUGUUGAUGACGUUUGGUCGAGUAGGAUACUGACCUCCUUCACUGUCACUCCCAAAUAAUGCUCCUGUUUCUUUGACACUUGUGCUUCGGUGCACCCUUGUAAACAUAAGGACGGCUGAGAUUACAUGAUAACCAAAGAGCCGACGUGAAUUGAUGUGAUUAUAUACCUUUGUAGCGAUUUUCUCCUUUCUUCCUUUCUUUUUAUUUUUUAUUUUUUCCUUUUUCCUUCUUUUCUUGUUUGUUCAAACAGUUUUGUUCGGUUUUUAUUUUUAUUUUUCUUUAUUGUUUUCUUAUUUUCUGUUCCUUUUUUGUUUUCCUUUUUUCUUUUGCAAUGUGCAAACUUUUCAAUUUUGCCUUUUCUACAAAUCAAUAAGCUUUUAAAAAAAAUUGUGAACAUUUUUUCAAAAUUGGUGAACUUUUUAAAAAUUCGUGAACAUCUUUUUAAUAUCGAUGAACAUUCUUUAAAACUGAUGAGCCUUUUCUAAACUGAAUGAAUUUUUUCAAAGUUGGUGAACUUUGUUUUUCAAAAUCAAUAAACUUUUUCCAAAUCCUUAAACAUUUUUUCCAACAUCCGUGAUUUUUUUUCUAUUCAUGGUAUUUUUCAUUUUGUGAACAUUUUGCAAAUCCACGAACAUCUUUUCAAAUCCAUGAACUUUUCCAAAAAGAUGAACCGCUUGUUGAAAUUCAUUGGUUAAUGGUCAACUUGUCGUCCAGGACAACCAUGAAGAAGUAUUUUUGGUUGAACCACGAAGAAGAGAUCAGGCGCAUUCUCCUCACAAGCGACGGCUGAUCGCUCGUGUAGUUUGGCCGGCCCCAUGAAAGGUGGUGUGCGAGUGCUGCGUCCACUAACUAGCGCAGCAAGCGCUGACUAGGAGCUCCCACUAUACAGGAAGUAGCGUCACACAAACUGGCACACACACCUCUCCGUCCUCGGCUUGGCCCAUUUAUUUCUUUUCCUUUUUUAACCUUCAAAAAAUAGGUGCAUGAAUUAGAAUGCUAACUAUUGACCUCUUGGAUUACUUCCCGAACCUUUUCAAUUUGUAGAUUGAUUAAGGUGGAGCUUAAUGUUCUUGUUUUCAAUUUUUUUUCACAAAUUGAAGGUGUUUGUAUUUCAAAAAAAAAAAUAGAUAAUUGUUUUGAAAAGUACGUGGUUUGCCUGUCUACCUAGUAGGUGGACAUUCCCUAGAUUUGUUGAUUGAUCGUGGUUGAGCUUCUCACCUUAACAGUAAUUUCUCCCUCGGCGUAUUUCUUGAAGGGCCGCCGUAGAUCUAUUCCGCCUAGGUGCCAGGAUGCUUUGGAAAGAUUUUUGUACCCAACUACUUGCCUAUCUCGGCCUCGAGGAGGGCGGUCGGGCUUCUCGGCCCACUCGCACCUAGAUAGCACGCUGUCCUUGGCCUCCUCGUCUAGCUCUGGAAGCAAGUUGAACUGAUUAGCCCCAACCUUUCUAAGAUUGUCAUCAAGUUCCUGCUCAGCCCUGAGGCGCUCGACCUAUCCUUCAUUAAGUGCAUUCUGUUCGGAUUUAAGCCACUGGGACUUUUUCUUGAUGCUUUUGUCCGUGUUGGCCAAUCGUCUGUGGAAUAUUGCGAGCAGAGGUACCUCAAGGGGUUCCUUGAAGAGAUCUUAUUCAUCUGGCCCGAGGCUUCUAUCUUCCUCGGACUCUGGCAUGUAGUUGCUAUCCUCAGGGUCAUCUUCGUCCCGUUGAUCAUAUCAUCGUCGUUGUUGUCAUUGCCAGCGUUCUGGUUGUUGGAGUCGUCCUGAGCGGCACUAUUGUCGGGAGUAUCUUCAAUUGGCCAGAUAAGGUCAUGGAAAAAAAAAUUGGGUGCAUUCAAGGAUGUCGAGAAACAACAUGCUCGUAGAUCGGGCCUCCUAGCCUACCCAAACACCCUCUGUUCAAAAUGGUCUAUUUUUGUACAUACUUGAAAUGACCACAAAUUUUUCAUGCAGGUGGGCAUGCCCAUGGUGAGCAUAGAUGCCAGGUUUGAUUGAUUUCCGACACCAUAUGCAAGUUGCGACACGUCCGACCCAUUUAUCACUCUCUUUUUUAUCCGGGAAAACUCGACAAAAUGUGAAAUUUGUAGCAAAAACAACUUGGCAUGGCGGCUUGAAUUGGUCAUACAAGGUCAUGAUAAAAAAAUGGAACCAUUUUAAGAUUGGCGAGAAACGGCGUGCUCUUAGACGGAGUCUCGUGGCCUACUUAGACACUCUCCACUGAACAUGGCCUACUUUUAGCCAUUUUUUAAAUGACUCCAACUUUUGCAAGGAGGUUGGCAUGCCCAUCGUAGGCAUCCAUGCCAGGUUUGAACAAUUUCCAACAUCGUAUGCAAGUUGUGACAUGCACAGCCAUUUAUCGGCCUUUCUUGACAAAGUGAACUCCAUAAAAUGUAAAAAUUUAUCGAAAACAAAAACAACUUGGCAUGGUGUCUAAAAUUAGUUAUACAAAGCCAUGCAAAAACUUAGGGCUUAAAGAAUAUGGAAAGACAACAUGCUCUCACACUGAGUGUUAUGGCCUUGUGGCCCACCUGAAUACCCUUCAUUGAACAUGGUCUACUUUUGCACAUUUUUUAGAUGACCCCAACUUUUCAAGCACGUGGGCAUGACCAUGGUAGGAAUCCAUGUCAGGUUUGAAUACUUUUCGACGCAAUAUGCAUCUAGACAUUUUAUCGAUCUUUUUUGACCAAGGAAACUGCAGAAAACGCAAAAUUUGUCUAGAACCGAACAACUUGGCAUGGUGGCUUCAAUUAGUCAUAUAAGGUCAUGUAAAAAUAUAGUGUCCAUUUAAAGAAUGUCGAGAAACAACGUGCUGUCACACAAAGCCUCCUGACCUAUCCGAACACCAUCUGUUCAACAUUGUCUAUUUUUGGACAUUCUUAAACGGACCCCAACUUUUGCAAGCAGGCGGGCAUGCCCAUGGUAGGCAUUAUACUAGAUUUGAACGAUUUCGGACACCGUAUGCAAGUUGCGACACGUCUAGCCAUUUAUCACCUUUUUUGACCGGGAAAACUCCAGAAAAAGCGAAAUUUGUAGAAAACCAAAACACAUUGUUCCUUGAAUUGGGCAUACAAGCAAAUAAAAAAAAUGUGAACAUUUGAGAGAUGUUGAGAAACAACAUGCUCUCAAACGGAGUCUUUUUGCCUACCCCGACACCCUACAUUGAACAUGGUGUUUUUUCUACACAGAUACAAAAAAUGUUUGGGGAAAUUCAGGAAAAAAAUGUUCAAUUUUUCGUUUGGAAUUCCAUAUUUGUUAGUGUCUUUAAGAAAAUGUUUAUGUUCAUAAUUUCGGUCACUCUUUAAAAAGAGUUUCUCAUUUUGACAUUCCGAGCAAUUUUGAAAGACGCAAACUUUUUAAUGAAAUUUUUGCACAAUUUUUAAAGUGUGAACAAUUGUAUUUUAUGAACAAAAUUUGAAACAAUGAUCAUUUUUCGAAAUUCUGAACAAGUUUUUAUAAGUGCGAGCAUUUUGUUGAAAAAGAACAAAAAAGGAAAACCGAAAACAUGUCAAAGGAACAAAAGACAAAUAGUAAACCGGUUGCUGGGUGAUAUAUUUUCAUUUCUAUUUUUCAAGUUUAUUUUUAUUUUUAAUAGAAGUUCAGAAAUUUCAGAAAUGUUCCCGUUCGAAGAAACAUUUACUAUUGUCAAAAAGAAAAGACAUGCGAAAUUUAAACAAAGGUUUAAUCUUUCGUGACUUAUAUGUUCAUAUAAAGUGUGCUGCAAUUACGGCUAACAAAUCAGAUGCGCUGCCGUGGCUACUGUCGUUACGCGCGCUCACCCAUUUUAUUUAUUGCGAAAUUGGUUUGCGGCUUUCUUUAGUCUCUACUCCUAAUGAAGCAGUUGGUAGUCUCCACCGGUCAAUUUUCGUCCCACCACUUUCGUCCGGUUUUUUUUCGUAGGUUAACCUUUCUAGAUUUUUUUUGGUUCCGUCCACCGCCUCCCCUCCGCUGGUUUUACCGUCGCGACAGAACCAAUCCCUCGCUAGCCCUACCUCGUCUCCCGUCUCCAGUUUCUUUGCAUGCAUUGGGGAAGGGAAGGGAAGGGAAGGCAAGAGAAGGGAAGGGCGAGGGAGCGCCCAGAUCCACGGCGGCGUCAGCGCGCCGUCGUCGACCUGAUCCGCGUCCGUCCUCGAGGGAGGUCGGCCAUGGAGGUCCAACCCCGCCCGGCAGCAGCCAUGGACGGACGGAGACGCCCAAACCCUACCCUCAAGGACGACGCCUCAACCUUCAAGGACGCGCGCCGGCGACCGCGGAUCUCCGGUGACGGCUAUGGAUGACUGCCCCGGAUCUAGACGCACAACCUGCAGCUGCAGCAGCAGCUGGACGACCGAACGCACGAGGACGGACGCGGAUUUUAAGUGUACGUGAACGCAAUUCUCCCGUCCCCUGCCCUCCUCGCGAUCUGCCGACGUCCUCGCGCUGCCGUCCUCUUCUCCCCGAUCUCCUCUACCGUGGCGCCCUCGCGAUCCUCUUGACGUGUCCUUGCGUCGCCUUCCUCUUCUCCCCGAUCUCCUCUACCAGGGGGGCUCCUCUGUGACCCAGGCGCUGGCCGACGUACUCCUCCGCGGCCUCACGCCCUGCCGCCGACGAGGAGACAGCCUGAGGAAGAUCCCUUGGAAGACAGGUUCCUAUUGGAGGAUGCUACAGGCUUAUUGAUAUUCAAAUGAGCAGCUGCUUCAACAGCGGCAAAAACAAGAUAUUCGUGACAACUCGGUUCAAAUCAGCCUCUCUUAUUUAAUGGUCACAUUCACCGCACGUACCUCAGCGGGGGGUCAGUUUCACUGAUUGAUUUGUUGAGGUAAUUCUCCUCGGCUUAUUGAUUUAAACACAACUUCUUUACGAUCUUCAUGUUUGUUGUCUUGGUAUGUUGACUGACUAAAUCACAACACUACUGACAUAUAUUUUUACAACGAAUAUGUAUUGUCUGCAACGCAAAUGCCUGAGGAGGCACUGGAUGGUUCACUCGAACAACGGACGUUGUCAGAAAAUUAUCCGGGUGCUUGAGGUGAGAAGUGCAUAUAGGAGUUUUGGAGCCUCCUGCAUGACAAGGUCACUCGGUAAUGUUGUGUUUACCCAUGAGAAUGAACCUGCUAAUGCUCCCCUCACAAGCGGAAGUUUCUUGAAAGCAGGUAAAGUGGUGCGGGACUAUUUUCUCUCUCCUUUCUUGAUGCAAAUACCUCUGUGAUGUUGGUGUCCCAACAAUGCAAGUCAUCAUUUGAUUAACUAGCUAUAUAUAGAAAGGUUGUUUUAUUAGUUGUUUCAAGGAACCCUUGUUUUAAAGCAACUGCCAUUUCUUUUCUUGAAUACGCACGACAAUGAUGCGUUCAUCAUCAUCCUGAGAUGUACUAACUAUACUCAUUCAAGGGUGUUCUGCUCUUUGGCCUACUUGGAACGAGGACGGCAUCGCUUGAUAGAGCCACUGCUAUCAUCCUUUUAUUUGGAUAUCAUUAAUAUAUUAUUUUGAACUAAUGUGUUCUGCUAAUGUAGAUUGUAUCAACUGCUAUGAUUGAAAAUAUAUAUUGGUAAAAGCAUCCGUCUUAUAAGGUACUCUCUCCGUAAAGAAGUAAAGAGCGUUUAGAUCUAAACACUCUUUUAUUUCUUUACGGAGGGAGUAAGUGUUUAACUAUACCUGUGAGCAUCAAGUGCGUCUCAUGGCCAAAUAUAUUAUGUCUGCUUCAGUCGUUAAAACAACCUGGAUUUAGUAGUUGUAGAAAGUUCAUUCUGUAGGGGAAUAAAGUAAGGAAUUAGCAGUCCGCAAUCAAGCUAAGUGUGUAUCAAAAAAAUAUUGACCAUGUAUUAAAGAAAUGAUGAUUUUUUAAUCAUGUAUAUGAAAAUGUUAAUCAACCAUUU